rnacentral:rRNA from 1 species
CACUCCUACGGGAGGCAGCAGUGGGGAAUUUUGGACAAUGGGCGAAAGCCUGAUCCAGCAAUGCCGCGUGUGUGAAGAAGGCCUUCGGGUUGUAAAGCACUUUUGUCCGGAAAGAAAUCCUUGGCUCUAAUACAGUCGGGGGAUGACGGUACCGGAAGAAUAAGCACCGGCUAACUACGUGCCAGCAGCCGCGGUAAUACGUAGGGUGCGAGCGUUAAUCGGAAUUACUGGGCGUAAAGCGUGCGCAGGCGGUUUGCUAAGACCGAUGUGAAAUCCCCGGGCUCAACCUGGGAACUGCAUUGGUGACUGGCAGGCUAGAGUAUGGCAGAGGGGGGUAGAAUUCCACGUGUAGCAGUGAAAUGCGUAGAGAUGUGGAGGAAUACCGAUGGCGAAGGCAGCCCCCUGGGCCAAUACUGACGCUCAUGCACGAAAGCGUGGGGAGCAAACAGGAUUAGAAACCCUAGUAGUCCCA